rnacentral:rRNA from 1 species
GACGAACGCUGGCGGCGUGCUUAACACAUGCAAGUCGAACGGAAAGGCCCCCAUCUUGGUGGGGGUGCUCGAGUGGCGAACGGGUGAGUAACACGUGGGUGAUCUGCCCUGUACUUCGGGAUAAGCUUGGGAAACUGGGUCUAAUACCGGAUAGGACCAUGGUUUAGUGUCUCAUGGUGGAAAGAUUAUUGUUUUGGUGCAGGAUGAGCUCGCGGCCUAUCAGCUUGUUGGUGGGGUAAUGGCCUACCAAGGCGUCGACGGGUAGCCGGCCUGAGAGGGUGGACGGCCACAUUGGGACUGAGAUACGGCACAGACUCCUACGGGAGGCAGCAGUGGGGAAUAGUGCACAAUGGGAGCAAGCCUGAUGCAGCGACGCCGAGUGGGGGAUGACGGCCUUCGGGUUGUAAACUCCUUUCGUUAGGGACGAAGCCGCACUUUUUUUGGGUGUGGUGACGGUACCUUUGUUAAGAAGCACCGGCUAACUACGUG